UCACGCUUGACAAAGCAAGGUGUUCCAUUUAGCACCCGAAAUUAUCAUCAAUUACCGUCUUUUCAAAUGCGUCAAUGUGUCAAUCAAUGUCGUAAGUCCGGAUGGCAUGGAGUCGCAGUUUACUUCCCAACUUAUCACCGAAGCGCCAUCAAAGUGUGACCUUUGCAAAUCGAGCUGCCCCCUUUUUCGGGACCGACAGCGAGCUGGUCCCGUGGUACGAUUUGUUUACCAACAAAGUUACGACGCAGGUGCCGAAAAUAAACCACUCCGGCGACUAUUUAUCAUUCGUUCAUUCGACCCUUGAACAAUGCGAUCGAUCUAAAAUUUAUGCUAACUUGGGAAAAGCCAUUUUCGAUCGGACUGAUGCGCACAAACGCAGGAAAUCAAUCGAAUCAAUUAAUAUCAAUUUGUGAGGAUGCCAAUUGACGAUUUGGCGUAGAUUGUUCUCGAACGAUUUGCGUUGUUCGGGUCUCACGAUUUCUGGCGAAUACAAGCUAUACCGAAGCAGAAACUUCCGAUUUUCAAGUGCAAUAUAUCACUAUUAACAGUCGUCACUACUUGACACUUGAUUGGCCUGUUGAGCCCGUUUGAAAUCUUGCCAAUUCAUGCGAUCCAUUGGGCGAAUGGCGUUCAUUGGUACAAUUAACAGUCAAGCUACGGCGUACCAAGCAAUUGAGUCAAAUUAAAAGAAAUGUCCGUUUCCGCCAAAUCGCAGCUGAAACGCCGUUCUGAGUAAGCAUUGUUGUAAAUUUUUAGCAGCAGCAACUCGUUCAAGGACACCAACAAAACCGCUGAAUGGGAUCCGUCAAUUAUAGUCCGAUCGAAUCUGUUCCAGUAGGACGAUCGUUGAUCUUCUUAUAUCGGUUUGGCAGCACUUCAAAUAUUUGACUUGAUUAAAAUAGGUUUGACGGCCGUGACAGUUAGCUUUGUAGGUUGUACUUUGUCAUUACAGGAUUGUACUAGAUUGAGCAAAUUACGUCUGAUGAAAUAUCUCCCAGAUUGGUUAUGUCAUGAACAGAAAUAGUCAUCAAUUCAAGUCAAUACCAUUUAGUCACGAAUAUGUGUCACCAAUUUAGCAGUGGUGAAAGACAGUCGAGAUAUUUUUGCCGUUACUAUUAGGCCAUUAAUGGUUAGUCACUGAUUACAUUUAACUAUCGUUUUAUGGCUUUGAAUCUUCAUGAAUAAUUACAGAGCCUUCGGUAAUGCGAAUUUUGAUGACCUAUAAAAAUCUAUCGAAUUAUUCGGUAUAAGCUUGAUGUUAUAAAUUAGCGGA